rnacentral:rRNA from 1 species
CACGUAGUUAGCCGGUGCUUCUUCUGCUCCUACCGUCACUCUCGCUUCUUCGGAGCUGAAAGAGGUUUACAACCCGAAGGCCGUCAUCCCUCACGCGGCGUCGCUGCAUCAGGCUUUCGCCCAUUGUGCAAUAUUCCCCACUGCUGCCUCCCGUAGGAGUCUGGGCCGUGUCUCAGUCCCAGUGUGGCCGAUCGCCCUCUCAGGCCGGCUACCCGUCGUCGCCUUGGUAGGCCAUCACCCCACCAACAAGCUGAUAGGCCGCGAGCCCAUCCCCAGCCGAAAAACUUUCCACCCACACACCAUGCGAUGGCGGGUCGUAUCCGGUAUUAGCCACCGUUUCCAGUGGUUGUCCCAGAGCCAGGGGCAGGUUGCUCACGUGUUACUCACCCGUUCGCCACUGAUCACCACCGAAAUGGAUCACCGUUCGACUUGCAUGUGUUAAGCACGCCGCCAGCGUUCGUCCUGAGCCAGGAUCAAACUCU